AUUCCAGCUCCAAUAGCAUAUGUUAAAGUUGUUGCGGUUAAAAAGCUCGUAGCUGGAUUUCUGCCGAGGAUGACCGGUCCGCUCUGUGGGUGUGCAUCUGGCUCAGCCUUGGCAUCUUCCUGAAGAACGUAGCUGCACUUGAUUGUGUGGUUCGGUAUUUAGGACAUUUACUUUAAGGAAAUUUGAGUGUUUCAAGCAAGUGCACGCUUUGAAGAUGUUAGCAUGGAUUAGUAGGAUAAUAAUAAGAUGGGACCUCGGUUCUAUUCUGUUGGUUUCUAGAGCUGAGGUAAUGAUUGAUAGGGAUAGUUGGGGGCAUUCGUAUUUAAUUGUCAGAGGUGAAAUUCUUGGAUUUGUUAGAGACAGACUGCUGCGAAAACAAUUGCCAGGGAUGUUUUCAUCG
rnacentral:rRNA from 1 species